CCUACGGGAGGCAGCAGUGAGGAAUAUUGGACAAUGGGCGCAAGCCUGAUCCAGCCAUGCCGCGUGCAGGAUGACGGUCCUAUGGAUUGUAAACUGCUUUUGCACAGGAAGGAACAACUCUACGUGUAGAGUCUUGACGGUACUGUGAGAAUAAGGAUCGGCUAACUCCGUGCCAGCAGCCGCGGUAAUACGGAGGAUCCAAGCGUUAUCCGGAAUCAUUGGGUUUAAAGGGUCCGUAGGCGGUUUAGUAAGUCAGUGGUGAAAGCCCAUCGCUCAACGGUGGAACGGCCAUUGAUACUGCUAGACUUGAAUUAUUAGGAAGUAACUAGAAUAUGUAGUGUAGCGGUGAAAUGCUUAGAGAUUACAUGGAAUACCAAUUGCGAAGGCAGGUUACUACUAAUGGAUUGACGCUGAUGGACGAAAGCGUGGGUAGCGAACAGGAUUAGAUACCCUGGUAGUCCACGCCGUAAACGAUGGAUACUAGCUGUUGGGCGCAAGUUCAGUGGCUAAGCGAAAGUGAUAAGUAUCCCACCUGGGGAGUACGUUCGCAAGAUGAAACUCAAAGAUAGUACGCGNGAGAGAGNGACGACGGACGACGAGGAGGGAGGAG
rnacentral:rRNA from 1 species